rnacentral:tRNA from 1 species
AGCGGGGUGGGGAAGCCAGUUAUAAUAGGCUAAGUUAUCCCGGCGGGCUCAUAACCCGCAGAGCGGUUUCCAUUAGAGUGUAACUUGAUGGCCGUAGGUUCAAAUCAACCCCCCGCUA